GUCUUAAAAGCUAGAAGCGGUCUAUUUUGUAAAUAGGAAAAGGUUAGUUAAAAAUCUAACUUAAGACU
rnacentral:tRNA from 1 species